rnacentral:tRNA from 1 species
GGAGAGGUGUCCGAGUGGUUCAUGGUGCCGCUCUCGAAAAGCGGUUCGGGAGAAUAUCUCGACGUGGGUUCGAAUCCCACCCUCUCCG